rnacentral:rRNA from 1 species
UACGUAGGGUGCAAGCGUUAAUCGGAAUUACUGGGCGUAAAGCGUGCGCAGGCGGUUGUGCAAGACAGAUGUGAAAUCCCCGGCUCAACCUGGGAAUUGCAUUUGUGACUGCACGGCUAGAGUGUGUCAGAGGGGGGUAGAAUUCCACGUGUAGCAGUGAAAUGCGUAGAUAUGUGGAGGAAUACCGAUGGCGAAGGCAGCCCCCUGGGAUAACACUGACGCU